AACACGAUUACUGGUCCACCUAGAAAUGCCGUGGAGCGAUUUAAGAGCCUCGGAAAUUUCCUUUAAGGUCAGGAGAGAAGCUGGUAACAGAUGGGGCGAAGGAGGAAAAGUUCUUUUUGCGGCACCCUCACGCCUUCCCAGCCCUUUCGCGGUUUACUCGCUCCCCGGAAAGCAGGGCAUUCAAGCAGCCCUGAGGAGAGGUCCACAUGGUGAGCCACUGAGGGCCUUGCCAAGAGCCAGCACCAACGGUCCAGGUUUGGAGUGUACCACCUUGGAAGUGAAUCUUCCAGUCCAGUCAAGCCUUCAGAUGACUUCAGAACCGUCCAUGUAAGCCACUCUUGGAUUCCUGACCCACAGAAACUGUUGGAGCUGCCAAUUUGCAGGAAAUAGAGGAGAGAAGCAUCUGUUGAACUGCACCAUGAGUAUACACUCAGCAAAGGCCAAACUGUGGAAAAUGAUACAGGUCAAACAGCCUGGAUUCUUUAACAGACGGAGUCUCACUCUGUCACCCAGCCUGAAGUGCAAUGGUACAAUCUCAGCUCACUGCAACCUCCGCCUCCCGGGCUCAAGCAAUUCUCCUGCCUCAGCCUCCUGAAUAGCUGGGAUUACAGGCACGCGCCACCACGCCCAGCUAAUUUUUGUAUUUUUAGUAGAGACGGGGUUUCACCAUGUUGCCCAGGCUGGUCUUGAACUCCUGACCUCAGGUGAUCCACCCACCUCAGCCUCCCAAAGUGCUGGGAUUACAGGCAUGAGCCACCGUGCCUGGCCUUUUGUAUCUGUUUUAUUUUUUAAAUAAUAAGAUUAAAAAUAAAUAUUCUGCAUGAUUAAACAAAUACAGAUUUAAAUUUUUACAGUCCAAUUGAGUGAUUUCCUCAUGUUCCAAAACCAGGAAGUAGGUGUGGGACAUCUAUCUCCGUAUUGCAUACACAGUCUGGAUUCUAGUUGUAGACUCCAUAUGGGCUGUCAUACACGCUACUACAGAAAUGAGAGAAAUCCUUGGGAAAUGGAACCAUCUCACACAUGAGAGACAUCUCUGACAACUUAUUCAUAACUGAAUACUUCUCAUUUAUCUUUACCAGUAAGUGAUGUUUCUGAAGCACCAAUGAAAAUGAAGUCCUGAAGUCCUGUGCUCAAUAUGAAAUGUUGGAAGUUAGAAGAAAAAAACAAAACUUGGAUCCAAUCUCAAGGCACUUUUUGUUUAAUGGGAAGAAGUGGAUUAUUUUAAAAGCUACAAAUAAAGUUACAUAAAAGUAGCAAA
rnacentral:lncRNA from 1 species